CAGAUACUUGCCUGAGAUCAUGAAUGAUGGGCUGACCAACCAAAUCAACAACCCUGAGGUGGAGGUGGACAUCACGCGGCCAGACACUUUCAUCAGACAGCAGAUCAUGGCUCUCCGAGUGAUGACCAACAAACUGAAGAAUGCGUACAAUGGCAAUGACGUCAACUUCCAAGACACAAGUGAUGAAUCCAGUGGCUCAGGCAGUGGCAGUGGCUGCAUGGAUGAUGUGUGCCCCACGGAGUUCGAGUUUGUCACCACCGAAGCCCCUGCAGUGGACCCGGACCGCCGAGAAGAGGAAUCUUCGGCCUCAAAGCUCAGCUCUUCCUUGAUCUCCUGGUCUCUGGUCUGCGUCGUCUUGGCCCUGCAGAGACUCAACAGAUAAUCGUGGGCUUUGGUCAAACGAAACUGCGUUUUAGCUCUUCUGUGGCCAACACCCUUCUUUUCUUACACUCUCGGACAAUGGACCACGCCACAAAACUCGCCGUUUUCUAUGACAAGAGAGCAGUCUUGCGAUCUGCCUCCCUUUUUGUUUUCCCAAAGAGUACCGGGUACCAGGUGGUCUGCUUCUCUUUCCUUCAGCUAUCCGUGGGGACCUCGUGUAUUCCAGAGAGAAUUCUUACUCAAAUCUUUCGUACCAAGAGAUUUUUUUCUUACCGUCAUUUGCUUUUAUGCUGCAAAAUUAAAGGAAUUUCACAUCGUGAGGGUUUUUUUUUGGGGGGGGGGGAUAUUUUUAACAACCCAUUUAAAAUAGGAAGAAAAUGAUUUUCCAUUUCAAAUCAGGCCAAACCCCAAGACAAAUGCAUUCUCAACAAGGAAAGGAAGGAGAGAAAAUAAUAAAGGAACUUUCAUCCUAUCAGGUUUGGCACUGACAGCCAACUCCUGGGGUGAGCUUUUCUGUGACAAGUGAGAUUUACAAAAUGCUUCUGAGGAGAAAGUGUACCAUUUUUAUGUAGUGGGAAUACACUGUUGUCUUGGCCUCUAACCAAACCGAUUCGUAGAUACUGAAGUAAAUUUAGGAUUAUGUCUUUGUAUAAUCUUAUUGCAACUCAACACCUCUCGUCCACCUGCCUGACCCCACCACUCACUGAGAGCAGCAUUUUCUGUCCCCUAAUGUCUGUCAGUUGUACCCAAUUGACACUGAUUGUCUUCAGUUUUUCACGGAUGCCCCCAUCCAGUCUCCACUCUCCUAGGUCUUGACUAAAAAAAAAAGAAAGAAAAAGAAACCAUCUUCCAUGGUACAGUCUCUUCUUUCUCCGCCAGACUGACAUGAGCUAGAUGUCUCAGCUCCCGUGUUCCAGACUCCCCCUCCCCAGAUAAGGGUUCUCCUACUGAUGUGACAAUUAUCUCCACACAUAAGGUUUUGUUAUUGACUCUUUGUGUCAAUUGGUUUCAGCAUCACAAGGGCAUUCUCUUAUAAAAACAACUCACAACAAUAACAACAACAAAAGUCAAGACAAAAAAAAAGAGAGAGAGAGAAAACACUAUAUAUAGUAUCGUCAUGGAGAUUCUUUUCACUUUUUUAGUCUUAGUAUGAUCAUCUAUUUUUAUAUCUAUAUAUAUAUAUAUAUAAAUCACAGAUUUUAACUUCUUAAUUCCAAGCUCAGGGUUGACACCUCUUUGUAACAGAACUGUUUUUGUCAACCACCUCCUCUUGUUCUGUGCUGCUCAGAAAACAGACUCCUUAGUGAUCUUUGAGCACCAAGAACCAAGAAGGAGAACUUUUUAUGUAUCUAACUGUCCACUGAUGACAAGUUUGCCAGGGCACACCCUGUUCACACGAGUUUGCUUUGCCCCUGGUGCUGCAAACUGUCCUGAGCUCAUGGGACAAGCCUGGUGUGCAAGACGUUACUGGUGAAAGAACGUGUGUGUGCAAACAAUGUUACUCAUGAAAAAGCAUUGCUCUCGUGUACAGCACCUUUGGCCUAGGACUUCUACUGGGUACUAUAACUGAAUGGCCUAAACCAAGGGGCCAUUUUUAGAGCCACUGCCUAACCUGUCCACCAAGCCAGGCCCAAUGCUUCCCCUGACAGAGAGAAGCAGAUUACACCAAACUGGGGUUGUAUGAAGACAGUUGGCUAACCAUGUUCUUCUUUCUUCCCUUUUUGUUUUUAUUUUUAUUUUUUUUGCUUUUAUGAUGCAUCUGGGAUAGGGAAAAGAAGUAUCUUAAGACACCACAGCAUACCGCAUGCCAAUCACACUUUGACUGACUCAUCGACAGUAUUGACACAUAAAUGAUAUUUGAUAUUUUUCUAUCUCUGCUCUCACCGAAAUUAACAUUUAGUUAUAGAUUUAAUCAUCGUGUCUAGGUAGAACACAUGCACUCGUAUUAAGGAUACUUGAGCACUUUUGAAAGACAGAACGUAUAGCAUCUGUCACCACUUUAUGCCUAAUGGAGUAAGAAGCAAUGCAGGAUUCUGAGAGACUCUGUGGUAUCUUCCAUUUGCAUCCAUGCGACACCUAAUCCAGUUCAGAAUGGCAGCCCUUCAGAAAACCAUCCAGCUGAGGACCCCACUUCAGCUUCUAAUCCCCAGUUACAUGUAACACAUCUCCGUGAAGGAGCAGCCAUUCAUGUUAGGUGGUACGUCGUAUGUUCAGAAAUCAGUAUUGUUUUUAUUUUUCCCAAUAAUUAUGGUGCAAUACAAACUAAGCCAAUGCCGAAUCUCCAGGAUAUUUGAAUAAUGACUUCUUUUUAUGGCUUUAAGCUCCAACUUCCUUCUUAAAAUAUUUCCGCAUUAUCUUCUAUAAAAGAAAUCAGGAGGUCUUGUUUCUUACCGUGCAAGAGGGUUUACAUGACAACGCAUUACAUUAAUGAAUGUGAGCCCAUGUUCUGUGCACGCCCAUCACACAAACAACAUAGAAAGGCCUGUUUUCUUUGAUGCAGCACCUGUAUUCUCAAGGGUAUGACUACUGACAAGAUACAGUGAUGCCCAUGAAGCAGGCAGAGCUGAAAUGAGGGCCAACUGACAAAGCCACAUCGUUAGUCAUUUUACACAGACACGGUCAAAAUGUUUCACUUGCCCUUCCUGGUCAUUGUCAUCGCCCAUCUUAAGGCUUUUAGACCGAUUUGACGUUAAAGGUUUCUUUUUUUCUGUCCCCCCUAAGCCUUUUAGCACAGUUACCCCUUUUCGGUACCUUGGGAUCCUCCUCCCAGAUUAAGUUUCUCAUCCCAGCGUAGUGAUAGGAGAUGUCUCGAUCUUUCCUCAUCAUCCCUGGCCUGCCCUCGUUUGUGAAGACGUCGUCCCCUAAAAUCUGUAAUCACAUCACGACUUGUGUUAUGAGUAGAGAGGAAAGGGACCCCCAACAUUGGACACUGGGAACGGGUGGGUGACGCUCAUAACUGCAAACUCUUAGCUUAUCGAAGUGCCUCUAUUUACAUGUUCCUCGGUUUUAAUAUGUAUUUUUCUAACAGAAAUACCAGUCUGUAAUCGAUGUUUAUUAUACUCUGUAUAUGUCACAACAAAGGCUAAGUGGAGGCUAAUGUCUUCAGCAGAGAAGAACGAACUGCAAAUUUAUGAACAAGAGCCCUGUAGUCCUGGAUUGGCAGCCACAAGACAGCUUUCUGUCACUGCAGUGAAGGCCAAGUGGGCACUUUGAUUACAGCCGUCACCGACUGUAGCACUAGAAAUUCUGAUUCCCUUACCCAGGGAGGAAGGUGACAUAAGUCACCUGCUUCAAACGUAAGGGAGAGAAAGUACUUUGUCUACACUGAAAAACUCUAUCCAUUGGCGAGCAGUAGUAGUUUCAAAAGGAGCAUUCUUUGGAUCAAACUCAUUGAGCAUGUCGUCGGACGCAGAUCCAUGAAACUUAGUUUACAUUCCCUGCUGUAGACAUUAGCCUUCCUUAAUUCUUCUUGCCAUUACACACACCUUUCGGCUACAAGCUAAGCACCAACUUUAAAUCCUCAAGGAGGAGUAGAACUCAGUGAAACCCUGGCUUGUGAAUCUUUUCUCACCUCUCUGCAAGGCUGAGUACCAGGUGGUUUGACUUUAGGUUUCAAAUGUUGGCAAACGCAGCAUUUGACUUCUCCAAAAGCUUGCAGAUACUCACGCCCAUACUCAUUGACUUACAGUCACUACCAGACAUUUAAAUUCAAAACAAAAUUGAGAGCCUUGCUACCUGAAGAGCAAUGGAGUCCAUCGCUUAUCAAUCUUCAGUGAGUUCCUCCUUGGUGACGAUAUUAGCCAGUGCUUGGUUUUAGGCCAAAGUAUACAAAUAGAGUAUUGAUUUGUACGCAUUCUGGAGACUUGCUAUGUCAUAAUUUGCCAUAGCCCAGACCCAGCUUAGCACGGGCAUGCUUGGGACUUCACUGACAGUGGAGGGGAUACUGAAGUCUUUGGUGUUGCCUUGUAAGAAGGACUUACUUCAUGAGUAACACCUUAAGGAGGGUACCACAGUGCAGUCUCUGUGUGCAUAUACAGAACACAUAUGCAGGAGAAAUGUGUGCACCGAUCAAACCUAAAACUUUACGUGACUGUCAAAUGACUAUUAUUUGGGUUAAGAUUUUCUUUUUCACUUCUGAUUUGGAUAGAAAAUUGCUAUUAAUCUUGUAUUAAAAUAGUUUAUAAAAAUCUA
rnacentral:lncRNA from 1 species